AUUUAAUGGAGGGUAUCAAUUAAGGCUGUCAAUUCAUAAAAAAUAACCGAAGAAAGAAUGGAAAACUUUAAAUUGGAAAAAAAAGCUGAACAAAUUUUCCAUUUAUGAUAGAAUCACGAAUAGACAAGAAUUAUUUCACUAGAAUUAAGUCGAGGCAUGCUAACUAAAUAAUUUAUGUCUGUCGAUUUGUUCACGUUUUUUCUUGGUUUUGUUUGAUGCAAGCGGUGUCAUGCUAAAUGCUGGUUUUCUUUUCCGCGACUGAAACAUAAAAAAUGACGGUAUGGAUAAAAAACGAAAAAAUAAUAUCCUUUUCCUGGCUACUGACUGGUUCAUCUUCGACGGGGAGAUCGAUAGCGGGACUGAGAUGGGCAAAUACAAAAUUCCUCGAAUUUUUAGGCUUCGUGAUAGCUUGAUUACUACUAUUUUGCUUCGUAAUCCGAGAGAGUCUUGCUAAUGAUUCUUCUCCCCUAGCCAAGAAUGAACCUCGAUGGAUCGCGCUC
rnacentral:misc_RNA from 1 species